GACGAACGCUGGCGGCGUGCCUAAUACAUGCAAGUAGAACGCUGACGGAGGAGCUUGCUGUUCUGGAUGAGUUGCGAACGGGUGAGUAACGCGUAGGUAACCUGCCUGGUAGCGGGGGAUAACUAUUGGAAACGAUAGCUAAUACCGCAUAAGAGUAGAUGUUGCAUGACAUUUGCUUAAAAGGUGCACUUGCCUCACUACCAGGUGGACCUGCGUUGUAUUAGCUAGUUGGGGGGGUAACGGCUCACCAAGGCGAAGAUACAUAGCCGCGCUGAGAGGGGGGUCCGCCACACUGGGACUUGGACACCGCCCAAGACUCCAAGGGGGGGCAGAGGAGGGGAAUAUUGGCAAAGGAGCGAAAGCCUACCGAAGAACGACGGGGUAGGUGAGGAAGGUCUCGGAGCGGAAAGGUCUGUUGUUAGGGAAGGACGAGCGGGAGGGUGGAAAGUUGACGUUGUGACGGUAUCUUACCAGAAAGCGACGGCUAACUACGUG
rnacentral:rRNA from 1 species